rnacentral:lncRNA from 1 species
CCCAGCUGUCGCAUCUUGAUUCUGGUUGAGAACCCUCUACUCUCUGAGUGGCUACUUAAGCCCAUACAUUGGCUACUAAAGCCAGGCUGCUUCAGAAACAUGAAAUAAAAAGCACCAGAGCUGGCAGACCUGCCCUAUGCUAUGGAAGUUAGAAUUCUAAGUAACCCCUGUGAUGACAGAAUUCUCCCAGAUCCUGUUCUUAUCUGUGGGAAGGAAAUGGGGGGUGAGCACAUGAACCUUUGCUGUUACAUCUACUUCUCCUAUUCACCCUGGAAUUUAUUGAAUGUUUUCAGUGUACCCAGAAUUAUUCCAGACAAAAGUGUGAAACAAAUGGAUGUGGUUUCUAUGUCCUGCUGGUGAAGGAGAAGACAGCUAGCAAGCAGGAACCUCUGCUGUCACAGCACCAGCAUUAUGGUUGCUCAGUUUCUUCACAAAGCAAAUCAUGAAGAAGUACAGACCUGACUUAAAGAGUUACUAGCUCUUUUGGAAAAGUACAAGAAGUUGAAAUACUAUGAGGCACUUUCAGAAGGUGCUCACCAAUUGGCACAUCAUCAGGAUGCACACGUCUCCUGUGGACUGAUCAUUCACCAACACCACGGCUUCAUCUCUCCAGAUUGCUUUAACUUCUUCCCCCCAUUCCAUCACUGUGUAUCCAGCAUGCCAUCCCCAGGAAGCCACCAUUCCCAAAAGCCAUUUGUACAUGGUUCCUUCAAUAAACCAAAACUGCUUACUGUCCAGCCCA